CGAGAAUCCCGAGCGCCCGGAAGCGCCGGUCUGAGGCGAGGAGAGCGGGGCGGGGACGUGCUGUGGAAGCGGCUGGAGAGACAAGAGCGGCUUUCUGGUCACGUACGACCUUCGGGGCGGCUGUCUUUCGGCCUUGGGGAGAAGAUGGAGUCGGGCUGGGAGGCUGAGGGCGGACCGGGGCAGACGUGGCAGAGACUGUAGUCGCGCUUCCGUUUUCAAACAGCGUUUGCAGAAUACAGACCCCGGCCCAGGAGGUGCAAACCCGCCUUUCGCCCUGGUCCUGGUCCGUUAGUUUCUAGGGCUUGAGGGCGCGGGGCGAGCGGGCUGCGAAACGUCUGCUAAGGAUGAUUUUGUAAAGACAGUAGGAGAAGCUAGUCAUGGGCUGGGAGGAGCAUCCGGAGCAGACUCUGUGAUGCAGUCCACACCACCGUUGCGUCCUUAAGAUGGCCCCAGGCGUUGCUUCCGUGGUGCCUACUUGUUUAGAAAGAGGAAAGGCAAAGUGUUUCCCUUAACCAGUAGAAAAUUCCUGCCUUGGUGCGUUUUGGUGAUUAACAAAUAAGAAUUUUAAACAUAGUUAUUCUACUGUAGGGUGCUCUCAAAUAUUGCUCACGUUUAAUGCUUACAACAACGGCCGCAAACUAGGCAGGGCAAACGUCCGCGCUUCCUCCCACUGUGUCCCUUCCCCCACGCUUUACAGAAACGAGGGAAGAAGCUAAGAGAUUUGGCAGGCAGCUCUUCGUGCCCGCCGUAACCACACCACAGCUUCAUGGUUCCUGGGCGCGAAAGUGUGAGAACUACUGUCAUGGGCUAAUUUGUCCCACAAGUCUCCACGGUGAUUUUAAUUUCUAGUAGUAGAUGAUAAUUUAAGCCACUGGUAGCUGUUGCCACAAGUUUUUUCUUAGUGGCAGCAUGCACUGAUGGAAUCUCAAUGGCUUUUGAGUCAGACCAGUUGGUAUCUUAUCCACCCACAACUGCACCUGGCAAUUCUCCCACUGGGACAUGAUGUUAGCAAGGUGGGUGCGCUUGCCCAAGCCUCACCACCGAGAAUCAAUGGAAAGUAAAGGCUUGGGUUGAGAAGUGACUAAGCUACUUUUAGGGAAGAAAAACAGUUAGCUUUUAGCCAUAGCACAACCUGCCAGGAGGCCAAGUUAGAAGCGGAGGCAAGGAAAUAAGAAUGAUCAUUGUAGGAAGGGUUGAUGCCCUCUUCUGGAUGCCUGUGAUUGGGGUUGGGCUGGGCCUGGUGAUGAAAAAUGAACCUCAUCAAAUGAAAAGGAGCCUCUCUGCGCUGUUUAUUUGUAAGAAACCCCUUGAUUAUUGCUCUAAUUCUGCAAAUACCCAUAAGCAGCACUUCCUCUGAAAUAUCUUCAUCCAACACAAGCACUUUCUUCACAUAUGUCAGAAAGUUUGCCUUCACUAACUUCCUGUGUUGGUUAAUUUUAUGGAUCAAAUGUGCUGGGCUACAGUGGCCAGAUAUUUGGUCAAACAUUAUUCCGGAUAUUUUUGUGAGGGUGGUUUUUAGAUGAAAUUAACAGUUAAGUUAGUAGACUUUUAAGUAAAGCAGAUUGUCCUCCAAAAUGUAAGUGGGCCUCAUCCAGUCAGUUGAAGGUCUGAAUGGAACAAUAGACUGAUUUCCCCUGAACAAGAAGGAAUUUUGCCAAUUCUGCCAUCAGAUGGCCUUCAGACUUGAACAGCUACAUCAAUUAUUCCCUGGAUCUCCAGCCUGCUGGCCCACCCUGCAGAUUGUGGACUUUUCAGCCUCCACAGUCCUUAAAAUCAAUCAACCACUUCCUCUCUCUUUCCAUAUAUGUAAACAUAUACACAUUCUAUUAUUUCUGUUUCUCUGGAGAACCUUGACUAAUCUAGUUCUUCUGGGUGAACAUCUGAGUGUCUCAAAAGGCCACAAUGUCAACAUUCCCUUGGUCAGCUAUUUUUUCUGUAAUUCCAUUUAUGUUCAACUAGAAUUUAACUUCCAGUUUUGUUGCUUUCUGUUUCUUUGCUGCACUUUCAUCUUUCUUGACCAGUUCCCUCUUUCAAUGAUCCAUUUUUGUAAAAUGUCACAUGUAUUUAUCAUGGGGCAACAAGGAAACAACAUGGCUACACACUUUGCAUAAACUGCAUAAACUGAAGAACAAAUUAGCACUGACCAAUCACAAACAGACUUUGAAAAAAGUAGGAUGAUUGGUCUUGAACACGAUGCAUAUAUAUUAUUUAUGUAGUGAUUUGUAGACUGAAGAGCUAGCACCAGGUUUGUACUUUACACAAUUACCCAUAGUUAUCAAUGUGGUAACUGAAAUUUGAACUCUGUUGUUCGGAAGCUGGUGAAGUUUAACCAUAUCAUGAUCAUGAUCAUGAAAUGAAAUUUAUGCCUCUUAGAACCAUGCAAUGCCAAGACUGCCUACACUUACUUUUGAACUGAUUGUCUAAGUUCAUAAUAAAGAAGUCUCUACCUACCAUGAAGGACCAUGAAGCAAAGAAAACAAGGUUCUUAACAGAAUCAGCAGCAUCUCUAUAAAAAUUCUAUUAUUUUAUUAACUUGAAUUCUUAAAAUGCUAGACUUAUUUUUUGCCUAUUUUCUGUGAAUAAUUGACGCCUGUAGAAUCACGUAAAAAGAUACAAACAUAAGUAGUUUGUGGCAGAGACAGCUAGUUGUCCAACAGAAAUCAAUUUUUCUCUUCUUUAAUAAUCAUAUUCCAGGUUUUAGUGGCGCUCAUGAAAUGCUUCCACUAUCCUCCUAUCCUCUCUUGAAGCUUAUGAUCAAAUUCUGGCCAGUAGGAUGUGAACAAAACUAUUGUGUGUCACUUCUGAGUUUAUUCUUCAGAGGAACAAAUGUGCUUCCUCUGGCCUUUUUGCUACCGGCUAGGAUACAGCAGUGAAGGCAAGAAGUGGAACAGCCACUUUGAACCCAGAAAUGAAAUCUGUGUGUUAAAUAAGGAUGACAGAGCAGCGUUAUACAUCUUGGACUAUGUCUCUAGAAAGUUAUAUCAGAGACAAUGAACUUCACUUUUGUUUUAGCCACUGAAUUUUGAGAUCUUUUGUUAUAAACACUUUAACCUAAUAAACGCAGGCAUAUAUUCCUUUUUGAGAAUAACCAGUAGCUUAACGUACUCACAUAGGAAGUUUAUGCACAUUACACUAAAUAGUGAAUGGAUUGUCUAUAUUCUAACUUUCAUUUAAAGAUGACAGGAAGAAAGGCUGAGGGCCCAAGUGUAAUGGCAUCCCCUUCUCAAGGAAUAAACUGAGCAGGAGCCACUGAAGACAAUUAAUGGUCUAAGGCAACCAACAUAGACAGGAUGGAUAAAACCUGCUUGUUGCAGAGUGGAUGUGAUGUUUUCCAUUUAGCAUUUAUUGUGCCCUAAGGCUGUGAACUUUCAUUCUUAACAACCAGCUGUAUUGGGAAGGGGGACCUCCAAUAUUUAAAUUGAAUUUCCAGGAGCUGCUGGGGUCUAACGGGAGAGAGUUACUUGGCAAUACCGUAUUUAUAGAAUUUGUGUCAAAAAUAAAUAUCAGGUGGUACGAAUCAGUUUAGUCAUUGACAUGAAUAUAAUUUAUCCAGCUACAACUACUGAAAUAUGUGCAUCAUGAAAUUUGUCUCUUUUUUAUGGAGCACAUUAAAAAGGAUCUGAUACAUCAACAAAUGUUUGACGCUCAUAUGUGUACACUAGAGGGCACUCACUUUCUAUUAAUUCGCAAACCAGUAUCUAGAAGCAUCACCUUGGGAUCUUGUUAAAAAUGCAUGUUUUGAGGUUGUAGAGGAGCCCGUAAACCUGCUUUUUAACGGGAUGCUCUCUAAGAGCAUAGUAAAGAGAAUGGCUCAUGGAGUCUCACAGCCAGGGUUUGAAAACUGACUUUGCCGUUUGUGAACUUGGGCAAUUAUGUACCUCCCUGUGCCUGGAUUUCCUCAUCCAUUGAAUGAAGUUAGAAAUAACACCUGCCUCUUAGGGUAGUUGUGAUGAUUGGAUCAGUCAACUUAGAACACAACCUAGUGCAUGUCAAUAUAUGCUAGCUCUAUUAUUAUAAGUAUUAUUUUUAAUAAUCAUAUUCAUUGAUUGUAUAGCAGGGUACCUGAAAACCACUCUUGAGAAAUACAGAACUAUUU